GACGAACGCUGGCGGCGUGCCUAAUACAUGCAAGUUGAGCGCUGAAGGUUGGUACUUGUACCAACUGGAUGAGCAGCGAACGGGUGAGUAACGCGUGGGGAAUCUGCCUUUGAGCGGGGGACAACAUUUGGAAACGAAUGCUAAUACCGCAUAAAAACUUUAAACACAAGUUUUAAGUUUGAAAGAUGCAAUUGCAUCACUCAAAGAUGAUCCCGCGUUGUAUUAGCUAGUUGGUGAGGUAAAGGCUCACCAAGGCGAUGAUACAUAGCCGACCUGAGAGGGUGAUCGGACACAUUGGGACUGGGACACGGCCCAAAAUCCUACGGGAGGCAGCAGUAGGGAAUCUUCGGCAAUGGACGAAAGUCUGAACGAGCAACGCCGCGUGAGUGAAGAAGGUUUUCGGAUCGUAAAAAUCUGUUGGUAGAGAAGAACGUUGGUGAGAGUGGAAAGCUCAUCAAGUGACGGUAACUACCCAGAAAGGGACGGCUAACUACGUG
rnacentral:rRNA from 1 species